GGCGAGUGAAGCGGCAAAAGCUCAAAUUUGAAAUCUGGUACCUUCGGUGCCCGAGUUGUAAUUUGGAGAGGGCAACUUUGGGGCCGUUCCUUGUCUAUGUUCCUUGGAACAGGACGUCAUAGAGGGUGAGAAUCCCGUGUGGCGAGGAGUGCGGUUCUUUGUAAAGUGCCUUCGAAGAGUCGAGUUGUUUGGGAAUGCAGCUCUAAGUGGGUGGUAAAUUCCAUCUAAAGCUAAAUAUUGGCGAGAGACCGAUAGCGAACAAGUACAGUGAUGGAAAGAUGAAAAGAACUUUGAAAAGAGAGUGAAAAAGUACGUGAAAUUGUUGAAAGGGAAGGGCAUUUGAUCAGACAUGGUGUUUUGUGCCCUCUGCUCCUUGUGGGUAGGGGAAUCUCGCAUUUCACUGGGCCAGCAUCAGUUUUGGUGGCAGGAUAAAUCCAUAGGAAUGUAGCUUGCCUCGGUAAGUAUUAUAGCCUGUGGGAAUACUGCCAGCUGGGACUGAGGACUGCGACGUAAGUCAAGGAUGCUGGCAUAAUGGUUAUAUGCCGCCCGUCUUGAAACCACG
rnacentral:rRNA from 1 species